rnacentral:rRNA from 1 species
CCUACGGGUGGCAGCAGUGAGGAAUAUUGGUCAAUGGGCGCGAGCCUGAACCAGCCAAGUCGCGUGAGGGAAGACGGUCCUAUGGAUUGUAAACCUCUUUUGUCGGGGAGCAAAAGACGCCACGCGUGGCGUUCCGAGAGUACCCGAAGAAAAAGCAUCGGCUAACUCCGUGCCAGCAGCCGCGGUAAUACGGAGGAUGCGAGCGUUAUCCGGAUUUAUUGGGUUUAAAGGGAGCGUAGAUGGGUUGUUAAGUCAGUUGUGAAAGUUUGCGGCUCAACCGUAAAAUUGCAAUUGAUACUGGCAGUCUUGAGUACAGUUGAGGUAGGCGGAAUUCGUGGUGUAGCGGUGAAAUGCUUAGAUAUCACGAAGAACUCCGAUUGCGAAGGCAGCUUACUAAACUGCCACUGACAUUGAUGCUCGAAAGUGUGGGUAUCAAACAGGAUUAGAUACCCGAGUAGUC